rnacentral:tRNA from 1 species
GCCCUGGUAGUGUAGUGGCUAUCACGUGGCCCUGUCGAGGCUUCGACCCGGGUUCAAUUCCCGGCCAGGGCG